rnacentral:rRNA from 2 species
UACGGGGGGGGCAAGCGUUGUUCGGAAUUACUGGGCGUAAAGGGCUCGUAGGUGGCCAACUAAGUCGGACGUGAAAUCCCUCGGCUUAACCGGGGAACUGCGUCCGAUACUGGAUGGCUUGAGUGUGGGAGAGGGAUGCGGAAUUCCAGGUGUAGCGGUGAAAUGCGUAGAUAUCUGGAGGAACACCGGUGGCGAAGGCGGCAUCCUGGACCAUAACUGACACUGAAUAGCGAAAGCCAGGGGAGCAAACGGG